AGAGUUUGAUCAUGGCUCAGGACGAACGCUGGCGGCGUGCCUAAUACAUGCAAGUCGAGCGGGUUUCAUCCUUCGGGGUGAAGCUAGCGGCGGACGGGUGAGUAACACGUAGGCAACCUGCCUGCAAGACCGGGAUAACAUUCGGAAACGAAUGCUAAUACCGGAUACGCAGUAUCCUCGCAUGGGGAGACUGGGAAAGA
rnacentral:rRNA from 1 species